UACCAGCUCUCCGAGUGGUAGGGAUGAUUAUUGGGCUUAAAGCGUCCGUAGCCGGCUUAGCAAGUUUCCUGUUAAACCCAGCGACUCAAUCGUUGGAUCGCGGGAAAUACUACUAGGCUAGGAGGCGGGAGAGGUCAACGGUACUUCUGGGGUAGGGGUGAAAUCCUAUAAUCCCGGGAGGACCACCAGUGGCGAAGGCUGUUGACUAGAACGCGCUCGACGGUGAGGGACGAAAGCUGGGGUAGCAAACCGGAUUAGAUACCCGGGUAGUCCCAGCUGUAAACGAUGCGAGCUAGGUGUUGGGAUGGCUACGGGCCAUUUCAGUGCCGCAGGGAAGCCAUUAAGCUCGCCGCCUGGGGAGUACGGCCGCAAGGCUGAAACUUAAAGGAAUUGGCGGGGGAGCGACCACAAGGCGUGAAGCUUGCGGUUC
rnacentral:rRNA from 1 species